CCUACGGGUGGCUGCAGUGAGGAAUAUUGGUCAAUGUGCUUAAGCCUGAACCCGCCCAAUCGCGUGAGGGAAGACUGCCCUAUUUGUUGUAAACCUCUUUUGUCAGGUGGCAACGCCGGCUACGUGUAGCCGGACUGAGAGUACCUGAAGAAAAAGCAUCGGCUAACUCCGUGCCAGCAGCCGCGGUAAUACGGAGUAUGCGAGCGUUAUCCGUAUUUAGUGGGUUUAAAGGGUGCGUAGGCGGAAUGCCAAGUCAGCGGUAAAAGCGCGAGGCUCACACUCGCUCCGACGUUGAAACUGGCGGUAGGGAGUGGGCGAGAAGUAUGCGGAAGGCGUGGUGUA
rnacentral:rRNA from 1 species